rnacentral:rRNA from 1 species
UACAGAGGUCUCGAGCGUUGUUCGGAUUCAUUGGGCGUAAAGGGUGCGUAGGUGGCGCUGUAAGUCGGGUGUGAAAUCCUGAGGCUUAACCUCGGAACUGCAUUCGAUACUGCGGCGCUUGAGGACUGGAGAGGAGACUGGAAUUCAUGGUGUAGCAGUGAAAUGCGUAGAGAUCAAGAGGAACACCUGCGGCGAAGGCGGGUUGCUGGGCCGACACUGACGCUGAAGCGCGAAAGCCAGGGGAGCGAACGGG